rnacentral:rRNA from 1 species
GGAUUCCCCUAGUAACUGCGAGUGAAGCGGGAAAAGCUCAAAUUUAAAAUCUGGCAGUUCUUGUAGCUGUCCGAGUUGUAAUUUAGAGAAGCGUUAUCCGUGCUGGACCGUGUACAAGUCUCCUGGAACGGAGCGUCAUAGAGGGUGAGAAUCCCGUACAUGACACGGACUACCAGUGCAUUGUGAUGCGCUCUCAAAGAGUCGAGUUGUUUGGGAAUGCAGCUCAAAAUGGGUGGUAAAUUCCAUCUAAAGCUAAAUAUAGGCGAGAGACCGAUAGCGAACAAGUACCGUGAGGGAAAGAUGAAAAGAACUUUGGAAAGAGAGUUAAACAGUACGUGAAAUUGUUGAAAGGGAAACGCUUGAAGUCAGUCGCGUUGUUCAGGGAUCAGCCUUGCUUUGCUUGGUGUACUUCCUGUUCGACGGGUCAGCAUCAGUUUUGACCGCUGGAAAAAGUGCGCAGGAAUGUGACAUCUUCGGAUGUGUUAUAGCCUGCGUUCGUAUACAGUGGUUGGGACUGAGGACUCAGCACUAGAUGCUUGGGAUGCUGGCAAAAUGGCUUUAAGCGACCCGUCUUGAAACACGGACCAAGGAGUCUAACAUGCCCGCGAGUGUUUGGGUGGAAAACCCGAGCGCGUAAUGAAAGUGAAAAGUUGGGAUCUCUGUCGUGGAGAGCACCGACGCCCGGACCAGAUGUUUUCGGACGGUUCUGCGGUAGAGCGUGUAUGUUGGGACCCGAAAGAUGGUGAACUAUGCCUGAAUAGGGCGAAGCCAGAGGAAACUCUGGUGGAGGCUCGUAGCGAUUCUGACGUGCAAAUCGAUCGUCGAAUUUGGGUAUAGGGG